rnacentral:tRNA from 1 species
GCGGCGGUGGUGAAAUCGGUAGACACGCUAGCUUGAGGGGCUAGUGCUCGUUAGGGCGUGGAGGUUCAAGUCCUCUCCGCCGCA